rnacentral:tRNA from 1 species
GGGGAUGUAGCUCAGUUGGGAGAGCGCUUGCUUUGCACGCAAGAGGUCGGGGGUUCGAAUCCCCCCAUCUCCACCA